rnacentral:rRNA from 1 species
ACUCCUGCGGGAGGCAGCAGUGGGGAAUAUUGGACAAUGGGGGCAACCCUGAUCCAGCCAUGCCGCGUGAGUGAUGAAGGCCCUAGGGUUGUAAAGCUCUUUUGUGCGGGAAGAUAAUGACGGUACCGCAAGAAUAAGCCCCGGCUAACUUCGUGCCAGCAGCCGCGGUAAUACGAAGGGGGCUAGCGUUGCUCGGAAUCACUGGGCGUAAAGGGUGCGUAGGCGGGUCUUUAAGUCAGGGGUGAAAUCCUGGAGCUCAACUCCAGAACUGCCUUUGAUACUGAGGAUCUUGAGUCCGGAAGAGGUGAGUGGAACUGCGAGUGUAGAGGUGAAAUUCGUAGAUAUUCGCAAGAACACCAGUGGCGAAGGCGGCUCACUGGUCCGGUACUGACGCUGAGGCACGAAAGCGUGGGGAGCAAACAGGAUUAGAAACCCCGGUAGUCCC